rnacentral:rRNA from 1 species
GACGAACGCUGGCGGCGUGCCUAAUACAUGCAAGUAGAACGCUGAAGGAGGAGCUUGCUUCUCUGGAUGAGUUGCGAACGGGUGAGUAACGCGUAGGUAACCUGCCUGGUAGCGGGGGAUAACUAUUGGAAACGAUAGCUAAUACCGCAUAAGAGUAGAUGUUGCAUGACAUUUGCUUAAAAGGUGCAAUUGCAUCACUACCAGAUGGACCUGCGUUGUAUUAGCGAGUUGGUGGGGUAACGGCCCACCAAGGCGACGAUACAUAGCCGACCUGAGAGGGGGGUCCGCCCACCUGGGACUUGGACACGGCCCCGGCUCCUUCGGGGGGCAGCCGUAGGGAAUCUUCGGCAAUGGACGGAAGUCUGACCGCGCAACGCCGCGUGAGUGGAGAAGGUUUUCGGAUCGUAAAGCUCUGUUGUAUGGGAAGAACGGGUGUGAGGGUGGAAAGUUCACGCUGUGACGGUAUCUUAACAGAAAGGGACGGCUAACUACGUG